UUCAGGGGUUUCUGCUUUUGCAUCUUCCUCAUUUUCUCUUGCUGCCACCAUGUAAGAAGUACCUUUUGCCUCUCUCCAUGAUUCUGCGGCCUCCCCAGUCAUGUGGAACUAUGGCAUUAGAAGUGGAACCCAAAGUAGAGCCUCUUGCAACCCCCAGAAGCACCAAGAGACCAAGAAAAAUACCUACCAGGCCCAUUGUGUUCAUUGCUCUCUUGCAGAAACUGGUGAUUGUGGAGAUCAAGAUUCCAAAAAAAUCCAAAGAACGGGGUUUACAGAAGAAGACUGAGUAUUGUCUGACCUCAAGCUUACGGGAUGCCAGAACAGGGGACUCUACUGGGACAACCCUAUUGGCAUCACUAUUUG
rnacentral:lncRNA from 1 species